rnacentral:rRNA from 1 species
UGGGGAAUAUUGGACAAUGGGCGAAAGCCUGAUCCAGCCAUGCCGCGUGCGUGAAGAAGGUCUUCGGAUUGUAAAGCACUUUAAGUUGGGAGGAAGGGCAGUAAGCGAAUACCUUGCUGUUUUGACGUUACCGACAGAAUAAGCACCGGCUAACUCUGUGCCAGCAGCCGCGGUAAUACAGAGGGUGCAAGCGUUAAUCGGAAUUACUGGGCGUAAAGCGCGCGUAGGUGGUUCGUUAAGUUGAAUGUGAAAUCCCCGAGCUUAACUUGGGAAUUGCAUUCGAUACUGGUUAGCUAGAGUGUGGGAGAGGAUGGUAGAAUUCCAGGUGUAGCGGUGAAAUGCGUAGAGAGCUGGAGGAAUACCGAUGGCGAAGGCAGCCAUCUGGCAUGACAAUGACGCUGAGGUGCGAAAGCAUGGGGAGCAAACAGG